rnacentral:tRNA from 1 species
AAAGAGAAGUAUUAUUGGUUGUAUGGCUGUCUUGAAAUCAGUUGGUGGGGGUUCGAGUCCCCCCUCUUUUG